rnacentral:rRNA from 1 species
UACGUAGGGUGCAAGCGUUAAUCGGAAUUACUGGGCGUAAAGCGUGCGCAGGCGGUUCUAUAAGACAGAUGUGAAAUCCCCGGGCUCAGCCUGGGAACUGCAUUUGUGACUGUAGAGCUGGAGUACGGUAGAGGGGGAUGGAAUUCCGCGUGUAGCAGUGAAAUGCGUAGAUAUGCGGAGGAACACCGAUGGCGAAGGCAAUCCCCUGGACCUGUACUGACGCUCAUGCACGAAAGCGUGGGGAGCAAACAGG